rnacentral:rRNA from 1 species
CGCGAAGAACCUUACCUAGACUUGACAUCUCCUGCAUUACCCUUAAUCGGGGAAGUUCCUUCGGGGGCAAAGUGACAGGUGGUGCAUGGUUGUCGUCAGCUCGUGUCGUGAGAUGUUGGGUUAAGUCCCGCAACGAGCGCAACCCUUAUUGUUAGUUGCCAUCAUUCAGUUGGGCACUCUAGCAAGACUGCCGGUGACAAACCGGAGGAAGGUGGGGAUGACGUCAAAUCAUCAUGCCCCUUAUGACCUGGGCUACACACGUGCUACAAUGGGAAGUACAACGAGUCGCGAAGUCGCGAGGCUAAGCUAAUCUCUUAAAGCUUCUCUCAGUUCGGAUUGCAGGCUGCAACUCGCCUGCAUGAAGCCGGAAUCGCUAGUAAUCGCGGAUCAGCACGCCGCGGUGAAUACGUUCCCGGGUCUUGUACACACC